AUGAUGUCAUCAGGAAGGGACAGCUCUGUUUGCAGUUGGUUGCAGAAAUCUGUCCCACUUCUGUCAAAGCGGCCGAUAAACCUGCUGCUAGCUCAACAGAACUAGGUCCUGCAAGUUAAAAGCAAGCCCCCAAAGGUCUCAAAUCCCUCAGGUGCUCAAAAAAUGCCAGGAGGAGUACAGCAAGGGGAGCCAGAGGACAGUUUGAAGAAGGCGCUGUAAAAGAAACAUGGAAUGGAGAGAACGAACUGCGACAUCGCAGUCAUGCUUCCUUCCCCAGGCCACACUGGAAACAGUCAAGUCUGCACCAGCAGCGCAGUUUGAUUCCCAGCCACCUGAAAUGUGGAUUAGGCCUUUCGACAGCUGGAGAAUCCUCCAUUUUACAUGCAAAACCAGAAUUGCCAUGUGAGUACAGGAAUCUAUUCCGCGAGGGGGGCUCUGGCUGAUUAAAUAUCUUGUGAAUAACACAAAGCUCAGUAUACUCUAAAGUGGUCAAAGCCUUCACAGACUGUUUUGUGAUUUAUGAAGGGGUUUAGCUGAACCUCUGCCAUGAAUGUUGCUUGGGACCUGUCAGUGGUACAGCUAGAUAAUUGUAGACCCUGGAUUUAAUUGUUUGCUCUGUGUGUGUGUUUGUGUACGUUAGAUGGCAAUGUGCAUUAAGCAACUUUUAUCUUUCCCCACCUUCCUUUACAACUGCUUCUAUAUUCUUGGGAAGGUAGAGAAAAACAAAACAAAUUUGCCUAACUCUGAUUUAUAUAUCUACUCAGUUUUGCAUUUUGAUUGAUUAAGUGUAUUUAUAUGCCACUUUUUGCACCAUGAACAUCAAAAUACAGAAGCAAUGGAAAAUACAAAUAUACAGAAUACAGAACAUGUCAGUAAAUCCAGAAAUGACAAAAACCUAUAGUUUGGCCAGUGCAGAAUAAAUGUAAUAUUACAAACAACAGCAGCAACAACCCAGGCUUAAGAAAAUAAAUGAAAAACCAAACAAAUUUUAAACUCACUUAAAUCUUAGCACUAUUACGAACACACUAAAUUAAGUUUGCUUCUGCUUCCCAGAUGCUGAACAUAUUGGGGAAAAGCACCAGUUAUUGUAGAAAAGGAUAAUAUAUAUUUAAAGUAAAAAUAAUAAAAUUAGCAUCUAUAAAAAUGUGCAUUCCUGGCCAGCUACUGCUGACUAUUAUUUUUUGUUUUUGUUUUUGUUUUUUUAAAAAAACAAUAAUGGAGUGGAAAAGAAUGUUGCAGCUGCCAGAGUCAGCCCCUUUGGGCCAGCCUGGCAUUCCCAUGCAAGCCUAAGUGCUGACUCUGGGUCUGUGGGUUGGAUUACUGUAACACUUGCUGUGUGGGGCUUCCCUUGAGGUUGAUCUGGAAGCUGGUGCAGAAUGCUGCCGUGAGGUUACUCAGCGGAGUCUCCAGUUGCAUACAUAUUACACUACUCCUAAACGGGCUGCAGUGGCUGCCAGUAAGCUAUGAGGCCGAUGCCAGGGUUUUUGGUUUUAGCCUAUAAAAACACUGGAUGAUUUUACUUCUGAGCUAAUAUGCAUUGGAGAUUCAAACUGCCAGUUUACUUGGGAUUGCCAUCUAGAAUUCUGUUAAGCAUUCCUUCAUGGGGAAUAAUAUAUGUACCUGGCCAGUUCCAUUGGCCAGUUUCAUCAGCUGGGGCUGAUGAGAGUUGGCAGUCUGAUAACAGUUUGAGGACCACAGGAUUUCCAUUUGCUGCUGUAGUUAAGUGGAUUUUCCAAUGUUGCACUACCAUUUUGUCUUCUUUCUUUAAUCAAUGUUUUUAAUUUCUGAAUGGUUUUAUACUGGAACCUUCUAUUGCUACCUAUUUUUUUCCAGUCCUCUAUGUGCUUACUCAGAACACGGCCCUUUGAAUAUAGUUAUAUUGGGCUGUGUCUGAUAAGUAGUUUGUAGUUUGUUAUUGUUGCAAACCGAUUUGGAAAAGUGGCAUGCUAAUACUUUAAAAUUAAAAUAAUACACUUUCAAAUGAACAAAAAGGGGUGGCAAAAAAGAUUGUUAAUAAAGAUCUGACUAAAGAUGGAUGCUACAGUCUCCGAUUAAAAGGACUGGAUCAUAUUACACAUUUCGCAAAACCAGGAGGAUUAGUUUGUAAUGCAGUAGGAACUUGAGUGUUGGCUCUUGAAUAGGACAGAGUAAGUCAGAGUCCUUAGAAAUCCAUAUUCCAAGGAAAUGGUGUUGUAGUCACUCUUGAAUGUCCAAGGGAUUUUGCUUGCUGACACCAAGUUGAUGUUUGUCCAGCACUAGAAUUACAAAUGUCUCCUGUUUUAUUUUAAGGGACAUUCCCUUUUCUACACAUUUUCACAUCUGUACUGCUCUCUUUUUCCAGUGCAGGAACUUCAUAUUUUAUGAAAUUAACCCAUACUUCAGAAAACUAAAACUUCUACAGCUCCAGCAUCAUUUCCUCCCCUUUCUUCCUCUUUGGUCUUACUGUUAAGGUUGCUUUGGCAAUUAUAGCUCUCCAUUACAAGGCCAAUCCUUUGUCAAAGGUGACUGUGGCUAACUUGGAAUGGGUUUGCUUUCCAAAGUUGUCUCCAUAGGUAAAAGCAGCCCUGGGUCUGCACUGUAUGUAGCCAACUUGGAACUGAAAUGCUUUAGUUUUCCAGAUCCAUAUCUUCCGAAGGGAAGGGCUCUUUGCAUGUACUUGAAGGCACUUUGUUCAUUUAAAAAGCAAAACAAGCCUCGUUUCCCUUCAGAGGGGAAAGGUAUUCUGUACACUCUCAGAUGCACUCUGCUCUUAGUGAAAAUUAAAAUCAAAUGUAAGGUGAUUUGCUAUAGGACAGCAAGGAAAGACUUUUGCCCACCCCCCACUUUCUGUAGAAAUGUGUUGGCGCAACCUGCUGCUAACACUUCUUUCCCCUGCCAGUUCUUAAAAGCAGACCAGAGAAAGAGUGUAAAUAGUUUCCCUACAAUCUCUAGUUUGAUAAAUGAGUGUUUCAGCUCAUAUCUGCAGUUCUCUGGCUUCCUUCCUGAGUCAGUGUCCCUUGGCUGAGCUGUAAGCGUGCUCAGAGGAAAUGCCCCUCUCGACACUUGGGGAAGCUUCACACAUAAAGUCCCCUCACCCCCAUGCCAGGGGAAAAUACUGUCCGCUAUCAUGUGUGAAAAUUGCGUGACUCUGUUUUGCCACGUGAACACACAUGUUCCAGAAGAUUAAACGUGCUUAGUUGCAGUAAAAUGGAUUCUUACUCAGACAAUUUUCACACACAGAAGUCUACCGAGAUAUAAGGAAGAUUUCUUUUCCUCCACUGAGGCUGUGAUCCCAAGCAUGGUUACUAUGUUAGUUGGAGCCUGUGUCCAGGAAAGCAUGCAAAAGCCUAAUACUGCAAUGCUAAACACACAUAUAGGGAAGUAAGUCCCACUGAACAGGUAAAUCCUAUUAUUUUAAAUCAUUUAUGAAUUACUUCCUAGGAGACAUCCUAAAGCAAUUUACAUUAAAAAUCAAUUAUAUAUAAGUCAAUUACAUAUAUCAAACAGUUAAAACUAUUGCAUAUCU